UUGGGUGGGCCAAAAAGUUUGUUUGGGUUUUUCUGAAAAAUCCAAAAAAACCCAAACAAAUUUUUUGGCCCACCAGU
rnacentral:miRNA from 1 species